CAGCAAAAUUAUGAAUGAAAUGUCCUGAUCGAGUGACGUCAUUUUACAUCAAGUACAACAGAAUCGAGAUUUUAAUAUGAAGACAAUUUGAAACAAGAAAACUUACUGUGGUAAAUCCAUAUUCGGCACACGAGGUUCGGAACGCUUCCGAAACUGUUCAAAGAAAUCGUCAAAAAUACUCAUUUUCGAUGGUUUUUGACGAGACAGAACCACAAACUACUUUCCAUAAAGGUUCACGCCAUAUUUACAA